rnacentral:rRNA from 1 species
GACGAACGCUGGCGGCGUGCCUAAUACAUGCAAGUCGUGCGGACAUUGUUGAAAGCUUGCUUUUAAAAGGUUAGCGGCGGACGGGUGAGUAACACGUGGGCAACCUGCCUGUAAGACUGGGAUAACGCCGGGAAACCGGGGCUAAUCCCAGAACGUUUUUUCAUCCGCAUGGAGGAAAAAGGAAAGGCGGCUUCGGCUGACACUUACAGAUGGGCCCGCGGCGCAUUAGCUUGUUGGCGGGGUAAUGGCCCACCAAGGAAACGAUGCGUAGCCGACCUGAGAGGGUGAUCGGCCACAUUGGGACUGAGACACGGCCCAAACUCCUACGGGGGGCAGCAGUAGGGAAUCUUCCGCAAUGGGCGAAAGGCUGACGGGGCAACGCCGCGUGGGUGAAGAAGGCCUUCGGGUCGUAAAACCCUGUUGCCUGGGAAGAACAAGUGCUGUACGAACAGAGCGGCGCCUUGACGGUACCCGGCCAGAAAGCCACGGCUAACUACGUG